ACCUGGGUGGUUCAGUCGGUUGAGAGUCUGACUUCAGCUCAGGUCACAGUCUCACGGCUCGUGGGUUCGAGCCCCACAUCAGGCU
rnacentral:tRNA from 1 species